GCCUACAUGAAGUCGGAGUUGCUAGUAAUCGCGGAUCAGAAUGCCACGGUGAAUGCGUUCCCGGGUCUUGUACACACCGCCCGUCACACCAUGGAAGUUGGGGGCGCCCGAAGUUGGUCGAGGAAUAGAUUACCUAAGGCGAAACCAAUGACUGGGGUGAAGUCGUAACAAGGUAGC
rnacentral:rRNA from 1 species